rnacentral:rRNA from 1 species
AUGGACGCGGCGGCGGCGGCCGGCGGCCACCGCUGGACGGAGGAGGUGGACGACCUGGUGGACGCCGGCGACGUCGACGGGGCCAUCUCCCUCCUCGAGUCCGUCGUCUCCAGCCUCUCCACCGCCGCCCCCUCGCCUCCGCCGGGCGCCGAUCUCCGCCUCGCCACGGCGCUCGGCGACCUCGCCGGCCUCCACGCCUCCCGCGGCAACACCCUCCAGGCCGACGCCAUCCGCUCCCGCGCCAUCGUCCUCCGCCUCCGCGCCGAGAAAGAAGCCCCCCAGCCCCAGUCCCUAGGGGAUCAUGCGACGGCGGAGAAUUCUGCAUCGCCAGAGGCUGCUACGGGAUCUAAGGACUCGAAAGCUUCAGCUAGCAUCGACGGGAAGGACGAAGAUGAAGAUGAUGAUUGGGAGGCUAUUGCGGACCGUGGCGACGAGACACCGGUGCGCCCCCUCGUGCAAGAGGCGAGGGUGACAACACCUUGUAGUUCUUCAGAGAAAAGUAGCACUUCAUCUUCAGGGACCAAGAGGAGGGGAAGGGGUUCCUUUCUUUAUGAUAAGAGUGUUCUGUACAGCGACCAGUGCGGUUCAGAGAGGGAUCUGGAUGACAAAGGGUCUGAUCCAGCUCAUGGUGGAUCAAAGGAUCAUGCGGAUGAGAAGGAUAACAAGGAUGCUGCAAAACGAUUUGGGACAAGGCACGCCCUUGUUCUUUAUGACUUCGCACCUAGCACACGCACAACAGAUUUGGAAAGGAUCUUUGAGAAGUUUGGAGACCAUGGAGUUGCCAUCCGCUGGGUCAAUGAUUCUGUUGCACUUGCAGUUUUCCGGACCCCAUCAUCUGCUAAGGAGGCACAAGCUUGCGUGCCUCCAAGAUACAAAGUACGGUCACUAAAGGAUAAUGACGAUCUCUUGGCAAAAAUCGACGGUACAGACCUAGAACCGCCGACACCAAGACCAAAGACAUCCGCGAGAACGGCGCAGAGGCUGAUCGCCCACGGGAUGGGGCUAAAGCAGUUCACGACCAUCGAUGCAGGUGAGCGGAAGGAGCAGGAGGAGGCGAGGAGGAGCCGGAUCACCGCCCGACAAGCUGCGCGCGAUGAUGCCUGGGGUGAGGACUGA